UACGUAGGGUGCAAGCGUUAAUCGGAAUUACUGGGCGUAAAGCGUGCGCAGGCGGUGAUGUAAGACAGUUGUGAAAUCCCCGGGCUCAACCUGGGAACUGCAUCUGUGACUGCAUCGCUGGAGUGCGGCAGAGGGGGGUGGAAUUCCACGUGUAGCAGUGAAAUGCGUAGAGAUGUGGAGGAACACCGAUGGCGAAGGCAGCCCCCUGGGCCAAUACUGACGCUCAUGCACGAAAGCGUGGGGAGCAAACAGG
rnacentral:rRNA from 1 species